AGCCUACGGGAGGCAGCAGUAGGGAAUUUUCGGCAAUGGGGGGAACCCUGACCGAGCAACGCCGCGUGAACGAAGAAGUUAUUCGUAAUGUAAAGUUCUUUUAUCAGGGAAGAAAGAGGAAUUUGACGGUACCUGAGGAAUAAGCUCCGGCUAACUACGUGCCAGCAGCCGCGGUAAUACGUAGGGAGCGAGCGUUAUCCGGAAUUAUUGGGCGUAAAGGGUGCGUAGAUGGGUUGUUAAGUCAGUU
rnacentral:rRNA from 1 species